rnacentral:rRNA from 1 species
GCUUGCUCCCUUAGGUCAGCGGCGGACGGGUGAGUAACACGUGGGUAACCUGCCUGUAAGACUGGGAUAACUCCGGGAAACCGGGGCUAAUACCGGAUGCUUGAUUGAACCGCAUGGUUCAAUCAUAAAAGGUGGCUUUUAGCUACCACUUGCAGAUGGACCCGCGGCGCAUUAGCUAGUUGGUGAGGUAACGGCUCACCAAGGCGACGAUGCGUAGCCGACCUGAGAGGGUGAUCGGCCACACUGGGACUGAGACACGGCCCAGACUCCUACGGGAGGCAGCAGUAGGGAAUCUUCCGCAAUGGACGAAAGUCUGACGGAGCAACGCCGCGUGAGUGAUGAAGGUUUUCGGAUCGUAAAACUCUGUUGUUAGGGAAGAACAAGUACCGUUCGAAUAGGGCGGUACCUUGACGGUACCUAACCAGAAAGCCACGGCUAACUACGUGCCAGCAGCCGCGGUAAUACGUAGGUGGCAAGCGUUGUCCGGAAUUAUUGGGCGUAAAGCGCGCGCAGGCGGUUUCUUAAGUCUGAUGUGAAAGCCCCCGGCUCAACCGGGGAGGGUCAUUGGAAACUGGGGAACUUGAGUGCAGAAGAGGAGAGUGGAAUUCCACGUGUAGCGGUGAAAUGCGUAGAGAUGUGGAGGAACACCAGUGGCGAAGGCGACUCUCUGGUCUGU